AUUGAACGCUGGCGGCAGGCCUAACACAUGCAAGUCGAACGAGCGGCGGACGGGUGAGUAAUGUCUGGGAAACUGCCUGAUGGAGGGGGAUAACUACUGGAAACGGUAGCUAAUACCGCAUACCAUCAGAUGUGCCCAGAUGGGAGUAGCUAGUUGGUGGGGUAACGGCUCACCAAGGCGACGAUCCCUAGCUGGUCUGAGAGGCUGACCAGCCACACGGGAACUGUGAAACGGUCCAGACGCCUACGGGAGGCAGCAGUGGGGAAUAUUGCACAAGGGGCGAAAGCCUGACGCAGCCAUGCAGAGUGAGUGAAGAAGGCCUUCGGGUUGUAAAGUACUUUCAGCGGGGAGGCGUUACCCGCAGAAGAAGCACCGGCUAACUCCGUGCCAGCAGCCGCGGUAAUUC
rnacentral:rRNA from 1 species